GACAGGAAGUGAUGUCAGGUGCAGACAGGAAGUGAGGUUCUAAAUAAACAGGAAGUGAUGUGUAGUCUAAAUAGGAAGUUCCGUGUGAGAGCAGUGAGUUGGGAAGGAAUAUAGAGAAGACGUUGAAGCUGGCAGGGGAGGAGUGCCUUCACCUCAUUCCCUGAAACAUGAGAGAAUCAAUGAGAAGAAGAUUCUAGAAGUCACCAACAAGAUCAUUGAUCUGCUGACAGGAGAGGUUCCUAUAAGGUGUCAGGAUGUCACUGU